AGAGAGUUAGUUAAAGCAUAACAUAAGGUUGUCAGCCCUACAUUACUAAUCUAAAUUAGUACUUUCUA
rnacentral:tRNA from 1 species